ensembl:lncRNA
UUAUUUCUGAAUUUCAUUAAUUUGUGUCAAAACAUCUAGCACUGUAAGCUUAUAGAUGGGCAUACAGGAUGACUUAUAAAAUCACUACUUACUAUCUUCCUAUCAUGGUAUUAAAACUUCAUUUUUUAUAUUUGCAACUCAGAAUCCAAGAUUCACUAAAAUGAUUCCAGCCUCCCAGCUCAACCAAUAUAUAGCAUAGCUGCAAAACAUGGGAAAAUCUAGAACAUUGUCUUUUUUAUUAUUGAAUUCCAUAGAUUGGGCCAAUAUCAACUUUCAUGGUCUGUCAUUGCUAAGAAGCCAAAAGCUCUUUACACUGCCUGUGAAAUGAGAGAAAGAAUCUUUAGAUACUUCAACUUUAAACAGAAAAUCCAGAGAAAAAAUUAAGGAAGAUGUUUUUUUGUUGUUGUUGUUGUGGUUAGUUGGUUGGUUGUUUUUUUUUUUCCUCCUCUUAGUGAUUAUAGUGGAAAGAUAUUUUUUGCUAAUUUUGCAUGCUGGAUUGGAAAUUUAAAGGACCAUUUCUCUCCUUUAAUAUCUCAGUUUUCUUGACAUGUAGAAAUCUUGCUAAUCCAGAAUUCCAAUUUAUUUAUUUUCUUUUAUAUUAUCAACAUAACACAUUUGAGAAAGAGAAUACAACAGAGUAUUCUUUCUACCUAGUGGGAAUGGAGUUAGAUGUCAUUUACACAGGGCUAUACAAUGAUUAAUAUCUGCAGAAAAAUUAGACCAAAUGAAAUGUGCUGGAAUAGGUUUGAUUUAUAUUGCCUUCAUCAUCCUGGUUUUAGAUGAAAUGGUUAUUGUUCUCCACCCCUGCUGAAAGAAAAGAGUCUUAAACUUUAAUAAUCACAGCCUUGUGAUGCUACAAGAGAGCUCAUUUGUUUGAAAUAUCUGUUUUCUGAUCUUGCCUUGCCAAUUGAAAUAGGGACUUUUUUUUCACUGUGGCCUUCCUAGAAAGUUAUAUACAGAGAACAGAGAGUUCAGAAUAUCUCUCUUUGGAGCAUUCUAAGUGAUCCAAGGAAUCAAAUUGAAGCCAAAAUAUUUUUUAGUUCUAAAUAAAAUGAGCUUGGGAAGAACAUUUCAAGUAUAGAAAGAAAGAUGGUGGGUAGACUUUUCUUUUUUAUUUGUCUUGUCAUUGCAUUUUACCCGGUUUUUAAUAGUAAAGGCUCUUUCAGACACCCCUUUUCUGCAUAAAGAUAAAGGGAAUGUCAGUUUUAUAAUGUGUCAUCUCUGGGUGGAUGGGUGAACAUCUCUAAAUGAGAUAGAUCCUAAUGAUACCCAAUUAGAAAUAAAGUUAUGAGUUUUCCCAGUGACAAUAACAUAUUUAUUUUUGGCUCCUCAGGCUUUUGCUCAGCCUGGUUCAAAGGAAAGUAAAUGUGCCUUUGACAUUUAAUUAUUGUGUUCUGAGGAGUCAAGGUGAUUCCAUUUAUUUAAAAAAAAAAGGAGAGCAAAAUGAAUAACAACCAACCAACAAUGGAAUGGUCUAUGAUGCAGAGGAGCAAAGCCAUGUUAAAUCAAUAAUCUUCUGGGCCAGUAAACUUCUGAUGGGCAGCCAGUUAGAUUCAAGCAGAAGCACAAGGCUUUGAGAUGACUGAAGAUCUACAAAACAAUAAAAUAAAUCCAAAGCUUUAGGAAAACACUAGUGGAAAAGCCAAAGAAUAGAUGGAUAAACUAGGGAAUAAAGAAUGUGUUUACCAUGUUAAUGGGCAAAAACUAUAUUGAUAUGCACAAGGGAAAAUGAAGAUUGUCAAUUAUCCAGAUAAUUAUUUGAAUGGAAGGGACCAACAUAAAAGCUUGCUAUAAUGAUCAAGAAAUAAUUACUUAAAACAAAUCUAUGCCACACAGAGUGAAGUGGAGCAUUGGCAAUUAUCUGGUGAAUUUGGGCAAUCCAUCAAGAUGAAUUGACUAGGAAAUUUACCUAUGUCUGAUUCAAUCUACCCUUUUCCUCCCUAGGUAGACUACAUUCACUGCCUCAAUUCUCUGGCCCAUUGCCAAAUCUCAACUUCUCUGGGCUAUGCUAACCUGGCUAUUGGCAGCUCCUAAAGUCUGGUUGAGAUUUGAUUUGUUUAUUGGUUAAAGGAUUUCAGGCUCCCAGGCUAUCUGCCUCAUUUCAUUUAGUAAUUCACUCUCAUAAAAAAUGAGAAGGGGGGAAAUAUGACCUGAACUAGUGACUAUCAGGAUUGUCCCAGAGGGCUGAUUUUCUUGUUAAUCAAUCUGAUAUAAACACUCCUAAUGCCAGCCAGAGGAUUUAGUAACUUUCCUUCAGCUACCUCCUCUGUCUUGUCAGUUUAAUUUUAGAGCUGACCUUUUUCUAAUUUACAUGCUUAUAUGCCUUAUAAAUCAAUAGAGUUCCAUGUUCUUUCUCCAAUACUAGCAGUCCUAUCAUAAAUGAAAUCAGUCCAAAGAAAAGUAAUUGAAAGCAGUUGUUUUCAGACCUCAGGUGAGUGAGGUGGUGUGCACCUGGAACUAGAUUCCUCUUAUAUUCUAUUGAGAGGCAUCUGUUGUAGAUUUGGGGAAAGAACAAAUGAAAGAAUCAACAUUCUAUUAUGAAAGACAAUCACUAGCAUAAGAAAGCUUGUGUCUUAAUUGUGGAUAGAAGUACAUUAAAGCAUUGAUUGCGCUGGGUCCCUGGUAUAAAAUGUAAAAUGUGUGAAAUUCUAAUAUAUGUGUAUAAUAUUCAUGCACUUUCUCAGUCUACUUGUGGGCCUAAUAUUCAAUCAAGUUGGCACUAUAUACUUAAAAAGUUUUUUUGAUUACAGAGGUUAAAAAAAUUCCUAUUUAUUCACUUGUGAAUUGUUAACUGAUGCAAAAAGUAAUGGAUCACUGUUUUGUUAAUCAUAGCAGACUUACAAUUGACCAAGGCACAUCCACACAGACUUCAAUAAUAAAUAUUCCUUUUGCACUGGUUGCAGUAGCACACGCCAGUAAUCCCUGCUUAAUGGAAAAUCAGAAGUUCAUGGAUUACUUGAGCUCAGGUUUUCUGAGCUUCAAUGGGACUAAAGUUAAACGAGUGUCUGCAUCAUUAAGUCUGGCACUAAUAUCUUGAUCCCCUGAAAUUGAGAACCAGACUGUCUAAAAAGGGGCAAAUCAACUCAGAUUACAUAUAGAAUAGGUCAAAGUUUACAUGAUAGUCAAUAAAGGGAUUGGACCCAUUAAUGGCCACUGUACUUACAGCUUGGGCAAGAUAGGUCUUUCUUGAAAUAAGCAAAUAAAUCCAUUUUUUAUUCUGAGUGGAUGUAUCUGUGUUUGUGUAUGUAGGAAUGUAUGUGUGUCUGUGUUAUCACUAAAUUAUUAUUGCCACCAAAUAUACAAGGCUAAGUUCUUGUACUUCUCAUAGGGAGAACUCUGGAUAAAGGUGCAGAAGUAAUAUGAGUAGUAGGGUGUAAGAGAACUGUAUUUCAUUCAAGCUGUCAACAUUAUAACAGGAACUCAGAAAUGAAACACUUUUUGACAAGAAAUACUUAGGAAGCCCUUUGAUUUCACAUGACCCUUUCAAAAACAUUUUUCAGGCUUAACAAGAUUCAGAGCAAGGUACUUUUAAAAGCUCAAUGGAAUAAGGAAGAAAUUCAUGAAACAGAAAAAUAAGACAGAAAAUUGAGAUUUUACAGGUGAUUCUCAAAUCAGUUACUUCAGGUUAUAAAGAUGUUAUAAAAUUAUAGAGUUGCUAUAUUUUUUCAAAAUUUUUCAGCUAACAAACAAUGUAGACAUAUCUCCCUUUUGUUUCAUAGUGAGGACAUUUCAAGGUUCUGAUGGGUCUGGGUUACUGAAAUCUGUGUACAAUUUGUGUUGAUAAUAAUUCACAUUUACCUAUUACUUUUAUUUUCUAAAAAUCAAAUCCCCCCAAACCCUCCCCCAAAACAACAACAAAAAACUUUUACAUAAUCUCAUUUAUUAACAUUUUUGUGACAUAAUGCAUUGCCAAACUUAUCCCAGUUUUCAGUUGGAAAACUUAAAUAAUUAGAAAAAUUUAAUAAUACCUUUGAGGUUUCACACAGAAGCAAAAAAUGGGGCAAGUCCUAAAGCUAUGAUUGUCUCCUUCUCAAUCCAUUAAUUUCUGUGUACACUGAGUACUAUGACGACCAGAGCAACUACUCAGAGCUUUACUUACUGACUUUAAACCCAAUCUCGAUAUGUUUGUUUUACAAAUUAUCAAAUCUAUUCCAAACUUAUGUAAUAAGGUCCCAGUUCAAAAUUUUUCACUGUAUUAAUGGAACUUUAAAACUUAAAAGCUUCUUUUUCAUACUUCCUAUCAAAUAAAAAUUUUUAAAAAGGGCAGCUGAAAGAAUAAAUUGACUAGCUCCACAUCUUUUCCUUCUCCUUUUCUUCCUCUUUCUCUUUCUUCAAAACUGCUCAUAAAUAUUCUUGUAACUAUUUUCACUUGGUAUUCCAACAUUAUGGUUUUUGUAGCAAAACACAGAUGUGUUCUUAAAAGAAAUACUGUUUUUAAAAUAUAGGCAUACCCUACAUAAACCAUAUCUUUAAAAAUACCUACUCACAAUAAUACCAUGAUAACUCAAACUCAUGACAUUCUUGUCAAAUUCUGCUGUAAUAUUAUUCAGCAAGUCUGAGCAAACAUUUGAGCCCUAUUGGUAUAAACUCUUCUGGGGAUCAUUCAGUUGUUGCCUGAAUCUUAGUAAUUAUGUAUUCACAGAUAGUGUUCCUAGGAAAUUAAAUACCCUCUUCCCCCUUGUUUCACCAAACUUUAUGUAUUUUGAGAAACCAAAUAACCAUUUCAGUGAUUUCUAUAUUUUUUUUCUUUUUAAAAACAUUAAAUCUGCUCUGUGAUAUCACCAAAACAACCCAACAAGAUUUAUUAAAUGUCUUCUAUAAGAAAGGUACUGUUUUGAGUAUUAUGAAUAUAAAAGAAGAAAAUAAAAUAAUCUUGCCCUUGUGGAGCUUAUAUUCUAUGAGGGGGAGUGAAGGGAUACAGAUGAGUAGAUAGAUAGAUACAUGAGAAUUUGAGGAGAGAAAAAGUAGUAAUAAGAGAAUCAGAAAAAACCUCACUUAAAAAGAUGACAGACACACAAGGCAAAAAAUGUGGCUUGAAGCCAGAUGGAGUUUUGAGUAUGGGAGUCACAUGUUUUUCACCACCAAUGCAUAUCUUUGUUCUUAUGAUAUUCAUGAGUACAAAUCCAAAAGGAAGUGUAAUUAAAAAAGAACCCAAAGUGUUAUAAGACUUAGGGCAAAACACUAUUUGUCUUUACUUUACAAUACUCAUUUACAAGGAUGGUGGUGACUGCAAAAGACCCCAGUAAAUUGGAACAAUGUUAAUUGUGAAACUGAACUUGGAAGUUCAUUCAAGAAUAUACAUUAGUUACUGUAUUCUCUCUGACUCUCUCCCAACAAGUCACUGGGUGAAUUAAAUCUUUUCAUUAUCAUUUUAUCUUUACUUCCCAUAGGUGUCUUAAUACAUAAUUGCAUAAUUUAUAUAGAUACAGACAUUCUUAAACUGAGUAUCUCUAUGAUUACAGAAAACUGAAAAUCUAGAAUAAUACAUAAAAAAAUCUUCAUUAGAGUUGGAUAGACCUUCAUUUAAGCUCUGACUCCAACACAUACUAGUUAUGGAACUCUAUCAAGUCACUUAACACUUCAAUAACCCAGGAAUUUCUCUAAUAUUAGAAAGUAAUAGAUAAGAUGGUGGAAGAAAUCUUUACACUGGAAAAGCCUUAUGCACUAAUGAUUAAAUCUAUAUGACAAAUCUAUAGUUUCUAUCCACCUCUUUCAGUCAAGAAUUGUUAUUAUAAGAAACUAAUAAUUGUAAAUAAAUAUACAUUGUAUAUGUAUAUAUAUAUAUUAUAUAUACAUAUACAUAUAAAAGCACAAGGGCACCUUGUAAUAACAACUCAGAAACACUUUAUUUAACCCCUAAGAAUAUCCCUGUCUACAAAAUACCAAAAGAGCUGGCCAAAGCAGCUAAUAAUUCAGUUAAUUUCCAAAACUAUCUGGUUGUUUUAUUUUUGUUUUGUUUUGUUUUACAAAGCAGUCAGUUUAUUUUUACUUUUCAACUAGUUUUCUUGGCAUGAUUAUAACACAUGUAAUUUCAUCAGUGCAUUUUGCUUGACAUACCAAUGGAAUGUGAGAAGCUCAAUUUCUAAGAAAACCCUAUGCAAAUGAAGUGUCCUCUUUCAGAUACUAUUUGAGGGUAAUUCAUACAAGCCCACACAGAGAACCUCAGACAAGCACAAAGUUCAGCUGACGGCCUUUACAUGGGCUUGUACCUUCCAUGUUAUUAUCAGAUUGAACCAUGUAUUUGGAAAAAAACAAAAACAAAACAACAAUAACAAAAACCCUUGCAAAUGAGUAUAUCCAUUUGCAAGCCUACUUCUAUCCCUUAACCUCCUCUGGGGAAAAUAACCAUAGGAGAACUGCUUUUUAAAACCAUGAGAUGUUCUAAUAAAAGUGAAGAAAAUUUUGCAGAAAGUCUUUGAUUAUUCAAAUAGUUGGCACAGAAUACAAACUUUUCACUUCCCUUCAAUUGUCCUAUUAUCCAUUUUCUUGAUUCAUCUGUUUCCCUCCUAAAGAUAAAAUAAAUAAAUUCAAAUAAAUUCUUCUUACAGGAGAAUGUUUCUAAGGAAAACAAAAAAAAAUGCUAAGAAAAAAACCCACUCAGAUUUGUUAUUCUGUCCCUAAGAAAUCAUCCUUCACCCUUCAUACGAAUGGAUGUAUCUUUUUUAAUGCCUGUUUAGUUUAAAUCCUUAUGGAAUCAGGGCACAUGAAUGACAAAAGCCUUAAUUACAUUAUUUAUUGACUAAAAGGACAAAUUUAUCAUUAGUAUCCUAAUAUAUAACUUGACGGUGAUUCAUUUCCAAAAACCCCAUUUUAUGGUCCAUGUCCCUAAGUGAAGUCUAUUUUAAAUCAGUCACGUAGCAUUACUUUGGUGCUGAUGACUGAUUUCCAUCUUAUUUUUAUAAUGGUUUGGUUUCUAAAAGUCACAAAUCUCAAAGCUUGAUGAAAUAAUUCAAAACCUGAAAAACAACAAUAACAAGUGUUCUGUAAAUUUUGAACUUUUGUUCUUGGUCAAAUGGCUACUUUUCUACCAUGUCAUAAUCAACAAAGCACUUGGAUUACUUUUUGUUUUCAAUUUUAAUAUAGGUUUUCUUUGAUGGUCUUUUUUAAAGAAGAAUCAUUAUCACUUCAAAUUGAUUCACCCCCCCCCACCCCAUCUCUCAUCUCCAGUAGAGUUUCCUUUGCCACAAACAAAUAAAAUUAGGCAAGCAAAACAUUUUCCAUGUCUGACAACAUACAUGCCUCAUUCAUCACCAUUAGUCUAUAACUUCUAUGAUGAAAGAGGCAUUCUUUCACCAUAGCCACUGUAGUUUGCUUAAUAAAUACCAAGAUAUAUAUAUAUAUAUAUAUAUAUAUAUAUAUACACAUAUAUAUGCAUUAUAUACUUAUAUACACAUACAUAUAUAUACACAUGUAUACAUAUAUGCAACAUAGAUCAUCUUCUUUAACUAUCACACACACAAGUAAUAGAUCUCAAUCUAUUUUUUAAAGACAAAGACCAUAUUGAUGAAAUAAUCUAGAGAUACUCCAAUGUAUUUUGCCCACGAUUAAUGAACUUCUUAUCCAUCUGUCAAUGUUUCUUGGACCAUUGUGCUUUUUUCACCAUGGACACAAGAUUCUGAAUUUCAUUAAUAAUUUCAGAGUAGUGAUCUCUAUGGAGGCCUUGCUCACAUUACUUUUUCUGACCUCAUUCUAGCACUGGAUGACUUAGCCAAUGCUGGGUCAAUUUGUUGCACAUUGAUGUAUACCAAGUGACACCCACUGAAUUACCUCUUCUUUCCCAAUGUAGUUCACUUGUACAUAAGUGUAAUGUCCAAUUGUUUACAGGUUCUCUUGUGUGUAAUUGUGGAUGCAUUUCUAAUGCAAAUUGUCAAAGAAAUCAGUUUUUCUGGAAGGCAUUAAAAUUGAAUGUGCUUAUUACAGUAUAGACAUCACCAAUUAUGGACUCACUCAAAUGCAUGUAUUCAUGUUGUCAGUACCCAGAAAAUGGAGCGGUUAUUUGGCAAUUGUCUUCAGUCUGUGAAUAACAAAUAUACACAACUGCUGUGACUUUAAUUACUCAGUAACUGUUUUGUUUUUCCUUUUUUUUUUUUAACUGUGGUAUGUAACACUAUAGCUUUUAGUCUGCUGUAUUUCCUUCCUAUCUAUUUGUUUCUGAGAGAAAAGUGUGAUUAAAAAAUAAUAAUGCCCUUUAUCCCACUGGAAUUGCACAUGGGAUGGGUGAUCAUUGAUCCAACUAGAAAGCAACCUGUCUUUUAUUGAACCAAUGGCUCUAGGCGGUAUAUAAAUAUAUACAUAACUAUGUAUAUAAUAUCUACAAUUCCAAUUAUUAUCAUUCCAUCCUACUCUCACUUCCAAUGGAAAAAAAUCUGCUAUUUUGUUUAGAAUUGCUGAUAGAUUAUGAGGAGACUCAUUUGUUAUUAUUAACAACUUCCAUAUCUUGUUUAGUUAUUAUAGUAUGGUAAAUGAUACAGAUAUGGUAUCAGUAUUGUGAAAUUGUGUGGUUGAAACUACAAAAUGCAUUUGUGGAUAUAUUCUAAAGGACAGAUCAGAAACUGUCUCUUCUAACUGAAAUAUAUUACAGAAUAUCUUGUGAAUAUAAUUACAGAAAUUGGUAACUAUUUUUGUGUCC